rnacentral:rRNA from 1 species
UACGGAGGGGGCAAGCGUUGUCCGGAAUUAUUGGGCGUAAAGCGCGCGCAGGCGGCCUUUUAAGUCUGAUGUGAAAGCCCACGGCUCAACCGUGGAAGGUCAUUGGAAACUGAAAGGCUUGAGUACAGAAGAGGAAAGCGGAAUUCCACGUGUAGCGGUGAAAUGCGUAGAGAUGUGGAGGAACACCAGUGGCGAAGGCGGCUUUCUGGUCUGUAACUGACGCUGAGGCGCGAAAGCGUGGGGAGCAAACAGG